rnacentral:rRNA from 1 species
AACGAACGCUGGCGGCAUGCCUAACACAUGCAAGUCGAACGAGAACUUCGGGUAUAGUGGCGCACGGGUGAGUAACGCGUGGGAACCUGCCCUUAGGUUCGGAAUAACUCCCCGAAAGGGGUGCUAAUACCGGAUAAUGUCUUCGGACCAAAGAUUUAUCGCCUUUGGAUGGGCCCGCGUUGGAUUAGCUAGUUGGUAGGGUAAAAGCCUACCAAGGCGACGAUCCAUAGCUGGUCUGAGAGGAUGAUCAGCCACACUGGGACUGAGACACGGCCCAGACUCCUGCGGGAGGCAGGAGUGGGGAAUAUUGCACAAUGGGCGAAAUCCUGAUCCAGCAAUGCCGCGUGAGUGAUGAAGGCCUUAGGGUUGUAAAGCUCUUUUACCCGGGAUGAUAAUGACAGUACCGGGAGAAUAAGCUCCGGCUAACUCCGUG